rnacentral:lncRNA from 1 species
AGGGUGCAGAUUCCCUGGUACUGGAGUCAUGGAUACUUGUGAGUUUCCGUGUGGCUGCUGUGAAUCAAACCUAGGGCCUAAGGUUAAUAAGGGCUCUAAAUUGCCGAGCUAUCUCUUCAGCCUCUAGAAUCUGUGCCCCGCCCCCCACCUUUGUAUAGCUCUGAUUGUUUGGGAAUUCUGUCUGUAGACCAGGCUGGCCUUGAACUCACAGAUAUCUCUACCUGCUUCUGCCUCUCAAAUAAUGGGAUUAAAAGCGUGCACCACUGUUGUGGGAAAUAUUUAAGAAGUUAACCCACCAUCUCUCUGCUCCACUGGUCCGUGCUCCUGCUCCAGUACCGGUACUGGCCUGCCACAACACUAUGUCCUGGCGCGUCCCACUUUGGCCUGUUCUCACCGCUGAGCUACUCUCUCCCAGCUAGCGGGUUGAUCCCGCUUUCAUGCAACACCCUACACACCCCAUGAUCAGCCAUCUCAACACCUAGUUACCCAGUAGAAAACUGACACUUAAAGCUUAAUAAUCCAAUCAGAUGUAUAUAACAAUAAGAUCACAAGUUACAAGAUGCCAAUACAAUAAUUUCAGAGCCAACUGAUAAGGAUAAAGCUUUACCCCAAUUAUUCUAAUCUUUGUGACAAUCUUAGCUACUUGUGGCUGUUCAAAACCAUGUGGGAUCAGGAUCAUCUUCCUGUUUGUCUGCCUCCAUGUUGGCUUCUCCCCUCCUCCUACCUCUCUCUCCCUGUCCCCCAAACUCUUAGCUCCAACUCCCCUUUCCUGAAGUAGCAAUGAAAUAAUGUUAUGGCUCGGGGUCACUCCAGCACGAGGAACUGUACUAAAGGUCACACCGCAUUAGGAGGGCUGGGAACCACUGGGAUCCUUGUUUCUUUCAUUAAAGUUUCAGAGUCUCCUUCAUAUAGGGCCUUUGCAUAUUUUGUUAGAGUUCAGAGUUAGAUUGUUUGUUUGUACGUGUGCUAGUAUAAAUGAUAUUAUGCUUCAAGUUUCAAAUUCUAGACUUAUUUAAUACCUUGUAUCUUUAAUCCCAAGUGCUGGGCUUAAAGCAUGUGCCACCACUGCCCUGCUCUGGCCUUGUUCUUAAUCGGAGUGGGUGGGAAAACAUCUCCCUUCUCGCUGUUGGCUUUUUGAAGAUUGUUUUGAAAAUCAGGUUGAACUUUCCUUUUCUAAUUGCUGAGGUUUUUUGUGAAAGUAGUUAAAAGUUUAACCCUUUUUUGCCUAUUAAUAUGAUUAUAGAAUUUUUCUUCUCUGGUUGCAGUAAUGGAUAUUAUUUUUGAACUUUGAACUAAUCUUGCAUAUCUGGAGCAAGUUCAUUCGGUUAUGUUUAUUUAUUAAUCAUCCUGCUUCAGCCUCUUUAAGUGCUGAUAUACCAGCUGUGCACCACCAAGCCCAGCGUCUUAUUUAAGUCUUGGUAGUUAUAUCUUCAUGCAUUGGUAUGUCUCAUUUAGGUUAACAGAUCUGAGGGAUAUUGUUCUUCAUGACACUUAUUAAUGGCUGUAAGAUCAGUAGUGAUUAUUUGCCUUUCAUUUUUUGUUUGUUUAUUUAUUUAUUUUUGAUUUUUCGAGACAGGGUUUCUCUGUAUAUCCCUGGCUGUUCUGGAACUCACUUUGUAGACCAGGCAGAGGCAGGCAGAUCCCUAAAAUUCGAGGCCAGAUUGGUCCAAGGAAUGGCUUCCAGGGCAGCCAAAGCUACAUAGGAAAAUCCUGUCUCAAAAUCCAAACAAAUAAACAAAAAAAUUGUAUGUAUGAGUGUGUACUUCUAUAUUGGCUUUGUGAAUAUGGGUGUAGUGUCUGCAGAAGCCAGAAGAGAGCAUUCUGUUCCCAGGAGCUGCGGGUACUGGGGACUGAAUGCUCAGAAUCGCUGAGCUGUCUCUCCAGCCUCCUUUCACUGCUAGUACUAGUAACUUAAUAUUUGUAUGUGUAUUUGCCUGGGAGUAUGUUUGUGCACUAGAUAGGUGCUUGGCCAGAAGGCAUCAGGUCUCCUGGAACUGGAGUCACAGGUGGUUGUGAGCCACCAUGUAGGUACUGGGAGCAGAACCGGGUUCCUCUGCAAAAGCAACUGGUGUGCCCUUAACCACUUAUAAUUCUCCAGCCCUGAUAUUGGCAGUUUUUAUAUGUUCUUCACUAAUCUGGCUACAAGUUGACCAGUUUUUGGUUUUUUUUGUUGUUUUUUUAAGAAUUUAUUUAUUUAUUUUAUAUAUAUGAUGAGUAUGCUGUAGCUGUCUUCAGACACACCAGAAGAGGGCAUCAGAUCCCAUUACACAUGGCUGUGAGACACCAUGAGGUUGCUGGAAAACAGUCAGUGCUCUUAACUGCUGAGCCAUCUCUUCAACACCCUGUUAGUUUUUUUGUUUUUUUGUUUUUUAAAUAAAAGUAUACAUAUACAUUUUAAAUUUUAUAUUUAUUUUAUGUUUUCAUUUUUUCUGCCUGUAAUUCUGUGCCCCAUUCCCAUUCAGUGUUUGCAGGUGCCAAAGGAAGGUGUCAGAUCUUUUGGAACUGGAGUUAAGGGUGGUGGUGAGCUACCACAUAGGUGCAGGGAAAUGAACCCUUGGUCCUUUGCAAGAACAGCCAGUACAUGUAACCUGUGAACCAUCUCUCUAGCCUAUUAAGGUUUUAUAGCUGAAAAUAUGCCCUUCUCCC